UCCCAUGAAGAAUAAGCGUCUGGUUCUUUAAACUGGCCAUCAAGGGGCCUGCUACCUUCGUCAAUCACAGACUUUCCUUUUCCCUCAAUGGGCUCGAAAGUCUUCUUGUUGACAUGGAUAGGAGGCAUAUAACCAACAUGGUUCUGGAAAUCUGCGUGGAAGUUGAUGCAUGUCCUUGUCCUGAGGAAUCUCAUGAUCCAUGGUGCAUAAA
rnacentral:lncRNA from 1 species